GAGACACCCUUCUGGGGCAAGACUUGAUUCAGUGGGGCUUUGGUGCUCACUGAGUCUGCCCCCUGAGUGUGUCCCU
rnacentral:pre_miRNA from 1 species